GACGAACGCUGGCGGCGUGCUUAACACAUGCAAGUCGAACGGAAAGGCCCUGCUUGCAGGGUACUCGAGUGGCGAACGGGUGAGUAACACGUGGGUGAUCUGCCCUGCACUUCGGGAUAAGCCUGGGAAACUGGGUCUAAUACCGGAUAGGAGCCAUUUUUAGUGUGAUGGUUGGAAAGUUUUUUCGGUGUAGGAUGAGCUCGCGGCCUAUCAGCUUGUUGGUGGGGUAAUGGCCUACCAAGGCGGCGACGGGUAGCCGGCCUGAGAGGGUGGACGGCCACAUUGGGACUGAGAGACGGCCCAGACUCCUACGGGAGGCAGCAGUGGGGAAUAUUGCACAAUGGGGGCAAGCCUGAUGCAGCGACGCCGCGUGGGUGAUGACGGCCUUCGGGUUGUAAACUCCUUUCGCUAGGGACGAAGCUUUUUGUGACGGUACCUAGAUAAGAAGCACCGGCUAACUACGUG
rnacentral:rRNA from 1 species